UGCAGUCGAACGGUGAACACGGAGCUUGCUCUGUGGGAUCAGUGGCGAACGGGUGAGUAACACGUGAGCAACCUGCCCCUGACUCUGGGAUAAGCGCUGGAAACGGCGUCUAAUACUGGAUAUGUGACGUGACCGCAUGGUCUGCGUUUGGAAAGAUUUUUCGGUUGGGGAUGGGCUCGCGGCCUAUCAGCUUGUUGGUGAGGUAAUGGCUCACCAAGGCGUCGACGGGUAGCCGGCCUGAGAGGGUGACCGGCCACACUGGGACUGAGACACGGCCCAGACUCCUACGGGAGGCAGCAGUGGGGAAUAUUGCACAAUGGGCGAAAGCCUGAUGCAGCAACGCCGCGUGAGGGAUGACGGCCUUCGGGUUGUAAACCUCUUUUAGCAGGGAAGAAGCGAAAGUGACGGUACCUGCAGAAAAAGCGCCGGCUAACUACGUGCCAGCAGCCGCGGUAAUACGUAGGGCGCAAGCGUUAUCCGGAAUUAUUGGGCGUAAAGAGCUCGUAGGCGGUUUGUCGCGUCUGCUGUGAAAUCCCGAGGCUCAACCUCGGGCCUGCAGUGGGUACGGGCAGACUAGAGUGCGGUAGGGGAGAUUGGAAUUCCUGGUGUAGCGGUGGAAUGCGCAGAUAUCAGGAGGAACACCGAUGGCGAAGGCAGAUCUCUGGGCCGUAACUGACGCUGAGGAGCGAAAGGGUGGGGAGCAAACAGGCUUAGAUACCCUGGUAGUCCACCCCGUAAACGUUGGGAACUAGUUGUGGGGUCCAUUCCACGGAUUCCGUGACGCAGCUAACGCAUUAAGUUCCCCGCCUGGGGAGUACGGCCGCAAGGCUAAAACUCAAAGGAAUUGACGGGGACCCGCACAAGCGGCGGAGCAUGCGGAUUAAUUCGAUGCAACGCGAAGAACCUUACCAAGGCUUGACAUAUACGAGAACGGGCCAGAAAUGGUCAACUCUUUGGACACUCGUAAACAGGUGGUUGCAUGGGUUGUCGUUCAGCUCGUGUCCUGAAGAUGUUUGGGUUAAGUCCCGCAACGAGCGCAACCCUCGUUCUAUGUUGCCAGCACGUAAUGGUGGGGAACUCAUGGGAAUACUGGCCGGGGUCAACUCGGGAGGAAAGGUGGGGGAUGAACGUCAAAUCAUC
rnacentral:rRNA from 1 species